rnacentral:rRNA from 1 species
AUGGGGCGCAGCAGGCGCGAAAACUUUACAAUGCGGGAAACCGUGAUAAGGGGACACCGAGUGCCAGCAUCAUAUGCUGGCUGUCCAGGUGUGUAAAAUACACCUGUUAGCAAGGGCCGGACAAGACCGGUGCCAGCCGCCGCGGUAACACCGGCAGCCCGAGUGGUGAUCGUGAUUAUUGGGUCUAAAGGGUCCGUAGCCGGUUUGGUCAGUCCUCCGGGAAAUCUGACAGCUCAACUGUUAGGCUUUCGGGGGAUACUGCCAGACUUGGAACCGGGAGAGGUAAGAGGUACUACGGGGGUAGGAGUGAAAUCUUGUAAUCCCUGUGGGACCACCUGUGGCGAAGGCGUCUUACCAGAACGGGUUCGACGGUGAGGGACGAAAGCUGGGGGCACGAACCGGAUUAGAUACCCGGGUAGUCCCAGCCGUAAACGAUGCUCGCUAGGUGUCAGACAUGGCGCGACCGUGUCUGGUGCCGCAGGGAAGCCGUGAAGCGAGCCACCUGGGAAGUACGGCCGCAAGGCUGAAACUUAAAGGAAUUGGCGGGGGAGCAC